UUUCCCGCCUUUUUCCACCAACUCAGUGCACACUGUCUUAAGGAGGGAACUGUGCCUCUAACCUGUGGUGAUGUGAGAGCAUUUUCUGAAGGGUAAUGAUGGUAUCUUUACCUUCCAACCCAAAAGUAUACAAAGACUGUUUAUUCUUGGCCUGCUUUGCAGGUUACCUGCUUUGUCCUCACACACACUCAGGGAAUGACUCAGGAAGCUGGUCCGAGCUGCUUUGCCCCGUGCUAGGCCUCACUACUAUGCUGCACUCUCCUGAGGCACCUGUUUUGGUGUUAUUUGACCAUCUUCUUCCAAGAGAUUGAGGAUGAAUCGAAUGAAAUAACAAGAAGGGAACGUAAAACUCCAGUUGACAGC